AGUGUCUGUAUUCCCUUGAG
rnacentral:miRNA from 1 species